rfam:Picea glauca, whole genome shotgun sequence.
ACAUGCCUACAACAUAUGGUUAAUACAUCGGAUCCCAUUAGACUUUUGCAGCUAAGCACGCUCAUGAUAGAUUAGUAUUGGGAUGGGUGACCGCUUGAGAAGUCCUACUAUUUUACAUGCC